rnacentral:lncRNA from 1 species
AAGCCAUCCCAACUUCCUCCUGGUGCAGAGAGGGAGACAACCCCCACAGAUGGAGACUUCCUUCACAAAUGCAAAUGUCUCCAUCAAAGGGCAAGCAAAUUCCACUCCUCGGAGCCCCCUUCUCAUCUGCAGUUUUAAAAGUAACCAGCCUAAAAUCCUCAUCAAAAUCCACUGAAGGACACAAUCUGAGGCACAGGAUUUUCCUGCGACCCUGCCAUGGGUAUGGCCUGCCAACCCAGAACUCUGCACUGUGCCACCUCCGGCUCCAAAGGAUGUGAUUUUCUGUCAUCGUAGCUGUGGUAAUUGUAGAUCAACGUCUGUCAAGAAAGUCAAAGGUUUUCCAGCUAGCCAGUGAGAUAAAAUGCUUCCUGUGACCUCAUGGCACAUACAAUUCAAUGGACUUCUAGUUCUUCAUCCAAGUGGUUAACAAAAAAAUUCCCAAAUGAAGCAGAUUCAUGAGAUAGCUCACGCCCCAACUUUUCUGGGAAGUAAUCUCCGUCCUCUGAGGCUAAAAAAGUGUCCUUCCUUGUUGCCUCAAUUGACUAAUGUGCUCGGGAUUCAGUUCACAGUCUGACUUCCACCACAGAAAACUCAAGCCCACAACGCUGAACCUCCUGUGAUGUGUAUUCUCUUCCAGAGGAUGGAGUGUUCCUUGAGUGCAAGAACUGUCGUUUUUUCAACUCAGCAUCUCCUACACCAGGCACGAUGCAAGGCUUAUUAUUAUUGCUGAAUAAAUUCUUGCUGAGCUGUUGAACUAAAUGAAAUGGGGCAAGUACAGUGACCUGUAAUCCUACACUUCUUUAGUCAACAAUAAGUUAUGGACAGUUCUCUGGCUUUCUCCUGAACCAACACUGUUUGACUAGUAAAUCCAGC